rnacentral:lncRNA from 1 species
UUACCUUUAAAAUUCAAAAUCUACACAAAACACACACAAACACACAAAAACUUUGAGACAACCCCCAACCAUUUUCGUCAGCACCAUCCGGUCCAUCCCUUGGCAAUAAAAAUCAAAUUAGAAAAAGAAGAAAAUUGGAGAUAGAGAUUUGGAGAGGGAACAAGGAAGAGAAUGUACACAGAGAAAGAGAUAGAUGAGGGAUGGGAAGCGAGGAAGAAAGAAUGGGCAGGAAUGAAUUCUGACCGGG